rnacentral:rRNA from 1 species
UACGUAGGGGGCUAGCGUUGUCCGGAAUCAUUGGGCGUAAAGCGCGUGUAGGCGGUCCGGUAAGUCCGCUGUGAAAGUCGGGGGCUCAACCCUCGGAUGCCGGUGGAUACUGUCGGGCUUGUGUACGGAAGAGGCGAGUGGAAUUCCUGGUGUAGCGGUGAAAUGCGCAGAUAUCAGGAGGAACACCAAUUGCGAAGGCAGCUCGCUGGGACGUUACUGACGCUGAGACGCGAAAGCGUGGGGAGCAAACAGG